ACCUCAGCAGUUGCGCCGCUGCCCACACUCUCACCGAACUCGAGC
rnacentral:rRNA from 14 species